AUCGAGCUCUUAUUGUGCGCAGAGGCACCGUGGUACUAGACAUACGCCAUGAGAAACGAGACGUAAAAAACAGUGACCCAACAGGUGGAUGCCUGGCUCCACCCCGCCUCACCUUAAAGACGCCUCCGCCCGGAACCCUUCCUCCCUCGUGUCCCUCCUCACCUUAAGCGGCGCCCCCAGCAGGUGGUGCAGAGCGGAGAUCUGCGCGCCCACGGGCAGCGCCCCGUCCAGGUUGCAGGUGGGGGCCCGGCGCGGCUCCGGGAAGUUGGCACAGGCGAAGGGAUCCGCGUCCUCCAGGUGAGGAAACGAUGUGAAGCGAGAAUGAAGAGACCCACACAAGAGAUGAGCGAAAAGUGAACCACAGAGAUCACAAUCCAACAUAUGUGUCCCCUCGAUUGACGACGCCGGAGCUAUGAAAGAAUUCACCGGACCAAUGUGCUCAAUGGACGAAUCGACGGAGGCAGAAUUAGGAUGGUUUCGGAAAUCGAUUUAAAUCCAUUCCGGCAGUCCAACGUGACUAAAUUUUUUUUGGUGGGGGGGGUGUUCAAUCUUCAUUUACAAAAUGAAGGGUGUUUAGAACUCGGGUUUUAUUGGGUGAAGCCCUAAAAAUCCACACUCCAACGAGUAUGGCACUGCGCUGGGAUCUAUAUAGGUCGGGCUCAAAGUCGUGGGGUGAUCAAGGGGGUUGGGGGUGAAUGGCCUCUCCCCUUUACAACCCCUGCCUAAACUGAAGCACCAGAAGUGGCGCCCACUCUGUUCCUCUCGGCCAAAACAACGUGUGUCUCUUUGCCUGGACGCCAAGGGAGCUGCAUGAAUCUUUCUUCUCGAGAGUCAGACAAUGGGUUCUUGGGCAACGUCCCUGAACACAGUGUGGGAGGUGUCCUUGAAUGUUUAGGAGCGCCACAGAGCAGAGGGAGGUA